UCGCAUUUAUAAAAAAACAAACAAACAAAGUUUCGAAAAUAAGGUCCCAUGACCUAACCAAUCUCUGCUCUGACCUACCAGAGCCCCAAUCCCUGCUCAUUAAAAAUCUUCUCUAGUCUACCGCGCUACGCCAGCUGCUGCCGAGCGUCGUUGCCGACGCCUCACGGCCCAAACCCUAACCCACCUCUCACGCGCGUCGCCGCCACCAUCGCCGUUCCCAUUCCACCUCGUCACGUCCCUGCCGUAUUCACCCUGUCCGAAACCUUGGACAUUGGUUUCUGAAGGCCACCAGGUUACCUAGAAUCAUCAUGUCAGGAAGAGAUCGCCUGCCGCGCCGUUUUGUCGAAGAUGGAAGGGGCUAUGUUGACGCCCGUGUGGCUGAGGAUCGCAGGGGUCAUCAUCCUGGUAUCCGAGUGGUUGAUGAUCGUAGGGGCCAUCAUGAGAUCCAUGUAGUCGAUGAUCGCAGAGCCUAUCCUGCAGGUCGUGUGAUUGAGGAUCGUAGAGCCUACCCUGAGAUUCACGAAAGGCCGCUCAUGAGGGUGGCUCCUCGCUCUCACCCGGAUGUCCUAGAGGAAGAAAUUCAGUUGCACAAGGUUGAUUUCCGCAGGCUUAUGGCUGAUCGUCAUGCUCUAGCUGAGGAACGGAUGGAGUUGCACAGGGAGUUGCAAGCCGGAAAGGAGGAGGUCUGUCACCUUAACAUGAUCAUCGCAGAGAUUAAUGCCAAGAAGGAAGCUUAUAUCAGCGAGCUCGUUGACAAGAGAAGGAAGCUUGAAGCUGAACUUAGAUCAAAUGAGCCUUUGAGAGAUGAGGUUGUGCAUCUUCGUGGUGAAAUCGAGAAGCUCCUUGCUGUUAGGAAAGAACUCUCUGCAAAGGCUGCAUCACUCAUGCAGGAGCUGAGUAGGGAGAGAUCUGAUAAACAACAGUUACCUAUGCUGAAAGCAGAGAUUGAGGGCCUUCAACUGGAACUUACUCAUGCAAGGAAUGCAUGUGAAUUGGAGCAGAAGGGGAAUUUCGAGUUGGUGGAACAAAGGAAAGCAAUGGAGAAGAGUAUGAUUUCGAUGGCACAAGAAAUUCAACAAAUGCGGGCCGAAUUAGCUAAUUUUGAUGGCAGACCAUGGGGCACAGAAAAUUCGCUCUCAUGGUACUAUGUCUAUCUGCUCUCUAAGGUGGAGCACAUGGGAUGAAGCUGGGAAGUCCUGAAGCGACCUUCCCUACUCAAUAUGGAGAUAAAUACAAUAUACAUGCGGGAGUUUCUGAGAAAGGUCCUUCGCACCCUCCUGAAUCUUCGUGGGGCACAUUUGAGAAGAACCGUUUCCAGUACCGCUAAGAUCCCAGCUGCUACAUUCCGGGGAGAAAGAAUCACCUCUAGGUUGAAUCCUGAGUUGGUCCUUCCUCUGAUGACAGAAGAUGUAUUUGUUCAUGUGAAGGAGCCGUCACUGCCAGAAAACAGUAAUAAAUAUGGUAAUGGGGAUAACUGUUGCCUUUCUGAUGCCGAAGGUUCUAUGCCAGUUAACUGAUACAUCUAGGAAUGCGCUCUUCUAAAACAUCAUAUUUUCUAGACAUCCCUGAAAAGAGAUCAAGAUGGAUUAUCAUACCAGUUGGAGAUAUGGGAAAUCAAGAGUGCCCUAGCAACACUUGGAAGGUCUUGAAUGUGGGCGUGUGGGCGAUUGGGUUCAUUUGCAGGCAUUAAGUUUUGUUGUGGUUUUGGGGGAAGAGAGUUGGGAAAAGUGAACUUGUGCCAUAGAAGUUUCUGGUUGUCUGGAAGCCCCUGUUCUGUGUCACUGUCGUGAUAAUUUCCUUUCUCCACAGGGAAGUUGAAAAGAGAUUCUGCUACAAAUUGUAUAUCAGUGAAGCCCCUGUUGGUGGAUUGAACUGUGCCUGGCCAUGAUGCUUCCAGUUGCUGCAUUUGGAUGUAGUCACCAGUUUGUCCAGCAGUGAAGUGCAAAGUCAGCAUAGCUGUCUGAUGCUUAAGAUGUCAGGAAUAAAAUAAGUUGCUCCCUACAUGCGCUGGAGGCAAUGAAGACAUGAUGUCAGAAUCCCCCAAGGACUCACGUUAUGCUGUUUUGAUGAUCAUGAUGUUGGUAAGGCAGUGGCAACCUGUCAGGACCUACCUACACAAACAAAGUCACUGACAAGCCCAUCUGAAUGUUGGACUCAAUGGUAAGGCAGUGCAACACUUUAGGACCCUACGCACAGAGUAGUGAACUACGUAUGUUUGAAAUUACGAGCAUGAUUUUGCCGCUCAAGAGUUUUGCUGAAAAUGAAGAUCCUGCAAGUCACCCGUUGUGCACAUUGGGAGCAUAUUUCUUGGAUGCCCAGGAAGGUUGUUGACAAGCGGAGGAAGCAUGUAAUUGAUCUUUUUGGCAGCUUUUCUCCACCACCUAUCUAUGCAUGGUGAGAGAAGUUAUGGUAUCAUGGCUGAAUUACAGCUUAGAAUGUUGUCUGAUGAAUAGAAAACCUGGUCUUGGAACUCCUGGAGAAAAAACGGAUGCCCUUGUGCUCCAUGCCUUACCUCGUUGAAACAUUAUGCUUCCGAUGUUUGGCUUUAGGAGGCAUGCCACUAAUCAGGUCUGUAUAUUCACUGCCCUGGACUGAAUCCAUCCUCAACAUCCUCAAGUCUACUCAACAAUUGCGGCACAACUUUUGCUAUAUUUGACUACCCAUAUGUUAGCAAGUCUAAGUUACCCCCCACUUUGGGUAGUCUUACGAGCAAGGGACAACUGCCUGUAUACCGGAGUCAACAUGAAAGUUGACGUGGAUCAAAGUCCCAUUCCACCGGUAUUAGCACAGUUGAAAGAAAUUGUGUUGCCUUAUGCUUUGUGGAAAUUGCAGGGUCAUAGAUUUGCUCACCGGCAUUAACAUACGUAGAUAACGAUGGUACUUUCCUUGCAAAAAGAGUUAACGUUGGUAUUAAAUAUAGGUGUUUAGGACAUCUCCAACAUCGCCCGGAAAUGUCUGGACCAA